CACGCUGUAAACGAUGAAUACUAGGUGUGGGGGGACUGACCCCCUCCGUGCCGGAGUUAACACAAUAAGUAUUCCACCUGGGGAGUACGGCCGCAAGGUUGAAACUCAAAGGAAUUGACGGGGGCCCGCACAAGCAGUGGAUUAUGUGGUUUAAUUCGAAGCAACGCGAAGAACCUUACCAGGGUUUGACAUCCAACUAACGAAGCAGAGAUGCAUUAGGUGCCCUUCGGGGAAAGUUGAGACAGGUGG
rnacentral:rRNA from 1 species